GUUUCUAAAAAGUCAGUUGAGAUUUAGCCAAGCCUCCUCCUAGCUGUGACAGAAACUUCACAAAACAUCCUAUGGGAAUAGAUCCCUAGAGAGUGUGGCUGAGUCUCCUCAGCAUCUGUAGCCUUGGGAAAACUGGAUGUAUCAUCGACUCAGGGAACGAAAUCAGUGAGCAUCUUGAAAUGUUGAGACCCUGUAUGCGGUGGUUGGAAUGAGAACGGCCUCCCUAGACACUUAUCGUCUGCCCUGUGCGAUAGGAGGCUGGACCUUGGAGAUGUUUCUGAGAUUUGAUUCCUGUGCUCGUGGGUGAGACAGAGAUAAGACACGAGUAGAAGAGAGAGCAGUGAUAGCCAACAGGCACUCAUAGCUUCUGCUUUAAACCAAGCCCGGAGGAGAGAAGGGCUUUUGGAAAAGCAAAGUGAACGCAAAAUCCACUCUGAUGAGUGGUGGAGAAGCAGAAGCAAAAGGCUUGGGGCUUUUGAAAGUGAAGUGGAUUUUUGAAUGCUAAAAAAAAAAAAAAAAAAAAAUCUGUAAUUUCCAGUUUUAAAGAACCGCCUAUAAGGAUAAUUGAACAAAUAAAAAGCUCACUUUUUGAACC
rnacentral:lncRNA from 1 species